rnacentral:rRNA from 1 species
GAUGAACGCUGGCGGCGUGCCUAAUACAUGCAAGUCGAGCGAACAGACGAGGAGCUUGCUCCUCUGACGUUAGCGGCGGACGGGUGAGUAACACGUGGAUAACCUACCUAUAAGACUGGGAUAACUUCGGGAAACCGGAGCUAAUACCGGAUAAUAUAUUGAACCGCAUGGUUCAAUAGUGAAAGACGGUUUUGCUGUCACUUAUAGAUGGAUCCGCGCCGCAUUAGCUAGUUGGUAAGGUAACGGCUUACCAAGGCAACGAUGCGUAGCCGACCUGCGAGGGUGAUCGCCCACACUGGAACUGAGACACGGUCCAGACUCCUACGGGAGGCAGCAGUAGGGAAUCUUCCGCAAUGGGCGAAAGCCUGACGGAGCAACGCCGCGUGAGUGAUGAAGGUCUUCGGAUCGUAAAACUCUGUUAUUAGGGAAGAACAAAUGUGUAAGUAACUAUGCACGUCUUGACGGUACCUAAUCAGAAAGCCACGGCUAACUACGUG